GGAGAGGUCGCAUAGUGGCCUAGUGCGCUCGCUUGGAAAGCGGGUAGACUCGCAAGGGUCUCGGGGGUUCGAAUCCCCCUCUCUCCGCCA
rnacentral:tRNA from 1 species